rnacentral:misc_RNA from 1 species
UGCUGGGCCUGGUGUGUGAUGAUCG